rnacentral:misc_RNA from 1 species
CGGUUGCGGCUCUGGUGUUCACUUUUGGUUCUUGUGUUGCCUACCCGUUUAGCGGUAUUCAUGUGCCUCUUAAGACUCGUUCCAUCCAGACCCCUUCUAGGGGCUGCUGGGGGAUUCGAAAGUGAUGCAUGUUUUGCGUUAGCUGUGCGUUGUAACGGCUCACGUUCUCACAUGUGUCUAUUUUUCCAUUGGAUGCGGUGCAUGCGGCAAGCGUGGGCUGACGAUUGUGCCCCGUUUAGUCCCUUUGAUUUAUCGGUUGCCUUGAAUGACACUUUGCCGUAGUGUUGGUCUUGCUUUACCAUUCUUGGGGGCAACACUUGCACUUCGACCAGAGUCAUUGACGG